UACGGAGGGUGCGAGCGUUAAUCGGAAUUACUGGGCGUAAAGCGCGCGUAGGCGGUUUGGUAAGCUGGAUGUGAAAGCCCUGGGCUCAACCUGGGAACUGCAUCCAGAACUGCCAAGCUAGAGUAUGGUAGAGGACAGUGGAAUUUCCGGUGUAGCGGUGAAAUGCGUAGAGAUCGGAAGGAACACCAGUGGCGAAGGCGACUGUCUGGACCAAUACUGACGCUGAGGUGCGAAAGCGUGGGGAGCAAACAGG
rnacentral:rRNA from 1 species